rnacentral:misc_RNA from 1 species
AGACCUCACAUCAGCCUUCUUCUCUCUCCCCAUUCCCCGCCACACGCUCAUUUCCCAGUCCCAUCCAACAGUAACAGUUCAAGUUACCCGUCAAUUACAUCCAGCAAUGACAAUUGCACCCAUCUUAACAACUUAGCUAGUAGCAACACGCAAGAACAAGAUAAAGAAAUCAUUUAAGUCUCCAAUUGGUGAAGCUUCUGGUGAUAGCAGCAGUGGAAUGAUUGAUUAUAUGCUCAAUAAUUCUCAUCAGCAACAAGUAUCAUACGGGUUUUGCACUUCAACUUCUCUU